AUUGAACGCUGGCGGCAGGCUUAACACAUGCAAGUCGAGCGGAGAUGAGGUGCUUGCACCUUAUCUUAGCGGCGGACGGGUGAGUAAUGCUUAGGAAUCUGCCUAUUAGUGGGGGACAACAUUCCGAAAGGAAUGCUAAUACCGCAUACGUCCUACAGGAGAAAGCAGGGGAUCUUCGGACCUUGCGCUAAUAGAUGAGCCUAAGUCGGAUUAGCUAGUUGGUGGGGUAAAGGCCUACCAAGGCGACGAUCUGUAGCGGGUCUGAGAGGAUGAUCCGCCACAAUGGGACUGAGACACGGCCCAGACUCCUACGGGAGGCAGCAGUGGGGAAUAUUGGACAAUGGGGGAAACCCUGAUCCAGCCAUGCCGCGUGUGUGAAGAAGGCCUUAUGGUUGUAAAGCACUUUAAGCGAGGAGGAGGCUACUGAGAUUAAUACUCUGGGAUAGUGGACGUUACUCGCAGAAUAAGCACCGGCUAACUCUGUGCCAGCCGCCGCAGUAA
rnacentral:rRNA from 1 species